rnacentral:rRNA from 1 species
AACGAACGCUGGCGGCAUGCCUAACACAUGCAAGUCGAACGAGACCUUCGGGUCUAGUGGCGCACGGGUGCGUAACGCGUGGGAAUCUGCCCUUAGGUUCGGAAUAACUUCGGGAAACUGAAGCUAAUACCGGAUGAUGACGUAAGUCCAAAGAUUUAUCGCCUAAGGAUGAGCCCGCGUUGGAUUAGCUAGUUGGUGAGGUAAAGGCUCACCAAGGCGACGAUCCAUAGCUGGUCUGAGAGGAUGAUCAGCCACACUGGGACUGAGACACGGCCCAGACUCUUACGGGAGGCAGCAGUGGGGAAUAUUGGACAAUGGGCGAAAGCCUGAUCCAGCAAUGCCGCGUGAGUGAUGAAGGCCUUAGGGUUGUAAAGCUCUUUUUACCCCGGGAUGAUAAUGACAGUACCGGGAGAAUAAGCUCCGGCUAACUCCGUGCCAGCAGCCGCGGUAAU